GACAGAGGGUGCAAACGUUGUUCGGAAUCACUGGGCGUAAAGGGCGUGUAGGCGGACUUGCAAGUCAGGCGUGAAAUCCCUGGGCUCAACCCAGGAAUUGCGCUUGAAACUGCAAGCCUUGAGUAUCGGAGAGGAAAGUGGAAUUCCUGGUGUAGAGGUGAAAUUCGUAGAUAUCAGGAGGAACACCGGUGGCGAAGGCGGCUACCUGGACCGGUACUGACGCUGAGGCGCGAAAGCUAGGGUAGCAAACAGG
rnacentral:rRNA from 1 species